GAAUAUAAAGGCAAUCCCAGCAACAUCAUGGGAUUAUAUCAACAGUUAGCUAUAAAAAGUAUACUAAUUACGAAUGCUUGAGAGAAUUCGCAAAUAGGAAAGAGAAAAUUAAUUUUGUUGCAUGUAAAUGGUCUCUUGAUCUUGCCUCUGUUUCAUACAUCGGAGAUGCUUCUCUAGCUAUUUUCUUAACCUCAUGCUUGAGCAAUCUUGCCUUGAGAAGCGAAAAUGCGAUUGAGGGUGCAGCUAAACAAAUUUGAGAACCCAAUUAUGCAGAUUUACAGGAACCUUGUGGAUU
rnacentral:lncRNA from 1 species